ensembl:lncRNA
GCCAUCUCUGCCUUACUCUUGGCAACCUUGGAUACCGAUUUACGGUCUACAGAGACCUCUUGUGGACAUUGUGAGAUAUUGCUUGUUCUCCAUCUUUCUUUCUGUUUCGCUUCUCUGUGUAUAAAAGGUUUGUUCCCUGUAAACAUCUUUCAGUGUAGGUGAAGCCUCUGCAGUAUCUCACAGCUGUGGUCACAGAUGGAUUCUCUCAAUUUCCUUCUGAUUUCAUCCCUAAUUUCUGCAACUACAUCUCUUCAGCAGGAUGUUCAGGCGAAGCUUGGAGCUGACGUCACUCUCCAGUGUCAGAUUACCAAACAGGAAAUAAUCUCAGUGCUGAAGUGGAGCAGAGCUGACCUGAACACAGACGGCUACGUCUACUUCUACAGGAACAAACGCUCCUAUGAAAACUACCAACAUCCAUCUUUUCAUGGCCGAGUAAAGCUGAGGGACCCAGAGAUGAAGGAUGGAGACGUUUCUCUGAUCCUGAAGAACGUCACGUUUAAUGACACUGGGAUGUAUGAGUGUCACGUAGCAGUGAGGAAGUCUGGGAGAAGUAAAAGAGCUCACACUGAGAUCAGUCACUUCAUCAACCUCACAGUCACAGCUGAAACGCAUGAAAACAUUAAACUGGUGAAAACAGGAGAUGAAAACAUGGAGGAGGUGGUAGAAGUGGAGACUAGGACUGAUCAGAUGGUUGUUCCUGCUGUGUCUGCUGCUGCUGCGUCCGCUGUCAUUGUUACUACAGCUGGAUUUGUGGCAAUGUGGAGAUUUAAAAGAAAGAAACAGGAGCCCACGGAGGCAGAUAACCAGCAGCUGGUCUGAAACGUCGAGGAGUUUCUGGUACAGCACGCUAUAAUUGUGUGUGAUAGCAAUCCACAGAGAGGGAGGACAGGUGGGAUCAGUUCUGUGGGCGAUGUGCUCUCUUCUGAGGAGGAGCGGCGUCUGUGUUUCUAGUUCCCGCCUGACCUCUUCAGAAUCAGCUGAUUUUUUUUUUUUUUUGCACCAUAACUUUAGUAUAUUUACCAAAACCGCACAAAGUUUCUUUGUAGUAUUAAUUCACCCUGUUUCUCCAGCAUUUUUCCCCUGAAGUGCAGAAGAUAUCCACGUGAAAUCUUCAGGGCACAAAAACAAAUUUAAAACUGCAACCAAAUCAAUUUUAUACCCACUCAAAGUGACAAAUUCUAACAAUAACAUCUUUAUUUUUUUGUUUGUUUUGGCGUUAUUGUUUCUGUAACUAGAUUCAUGUUGUCAGUAUCAAUAUCAUGGGCUGUGUCAUUGUUCACAGUUACUUGUGUUUCCCAGCAUAACCUGUGAGCAUCUGAGUUUUAUUUUCUGUAUUUUUAUAGUUAUAGUUGGGACUCUUUUUCUUUUUCUUUUUGUUUAAGUUUCUGUGGUUAUUUUACUGUUGCUGUUGUUUCAUGACCACUUCAAGGCACUGAGUUGCUGCUAAGUUUUGCAUCAUUUUGGGGGGUUUUCUGGUCGCUUUCACUCAGACUUCAUGUUCUCAGUUUGAAAGCUUCUUUGUCUUGAGCUUUUCGUACUUUUGAAAUCUAUUUGAGAGGUUGCUGUUUGUAUUUGCAUCAUGGUGUUUUCCCCCAACAUUUUGUUCAGUGUGUUUUGUUUCAUUAUGUCAUUUUUGUUAUUUUCACUUUCCUUUCAUCAUUCUCUCACAGCAUCUAUUUGCCUGUGUGUUUACCUUUGCCCACAGACUCUCGGUGUUCUGGGAAAUUUCCAACAAUGUGAAUACAUUUUUGCUUUUUGUUUACUUCUGUCUGUCUCCUUAAUUUCUUUAUUCUGCAAAUCACAAUGGUUUCAAUGAACUGCACAAACUGAACGCUGAUCACACAGAGACACAGAAACACUUUGGUGCUCUGGAUGUUUGAUCUGUUUCUGAUAUCUUACUAAAACAAAAAUGUCAAAUAGCGCACGCUGGAUGAACUUUAAAGGCUCCAUAUGGGAGACAGGGAUGAUCAAAGGAUCAUCUUCUAAUUGAUUAUAUGAUUGAGAACUUUCAAACAACGAUUCGGUGGAAAGACUAUCUCAAUAAUCUUUACAGCACAACUAACACAGAGGGAGUGUCGUUACUUUCUCCCUGAAGGACGAUAGAUUACAUUUCAGUUUUUGUCUUAAUAAAAUUUAAGAAAAAAGGGGUUUUUUUUGUUUUUUUACAGGAAAAAUGUUAAAUCUGUUAAGAAAAUGCAGAAAAAAAGAAGUCUUGUACUUUUUCAGCAGGUUACAGUCACUACAGUCUGCACAUGGUGCACCUGUUUGUUUUGUUGUGAUUAUUACAGGAAACUUCACAGACAGUUUCUCUCUCCAUCACAUCAACAAUGGAUUUCAUCUUUCAGCCAGCCAUGUGUUAGAAACUCCCAGGUGCUCAUGAGCAGAGCAAUCUGAGACACUGUAAGAUCUAUGUUAUUUUUCAGUGGCAGGAAAACAUAAUCACAUGAUUAAUAAUCAACUGAAUUGUCUCUACAUAAAUCAAAUGCACUCAGAGUAUAUUUAGAGAUGCUUUCAGACAUUUUUUUAACUCCUUGCCCACUUCCACAGUCAUCACUGAACCUUAGUCCUUAGAAAUAUUCAGUUUCAACCAUCGCUGUGCUCUUUAAUGCCCUCAAACAAUAAAACCGGUUUAAUUCUUUUAGUUGUUAUUACUUUUUAAACCAAUGCAGGAUGAUCACUGUCUGGCCGAGGACGGUGCAGAGAUGUAAAGUAAAUCUGCUUCAUAUUUCCUGUCAUGUACAUCCUGUUCUGGGGUUAGACUGUCACACUAAACAAUGAUGUUAGAGUAGGAAAUCCCUGCAACUCAAAACUUCAGACUGCUCUAAACACUCAGUUUCAUCUUUUACAGACAUGUCCUCAGUGUGAGGCAGAGGAGGAUGAGAGAUCCAAGAGAAAUACUGAAAUAUGAAAUCAUUAAAUAGAGAUGGGCAGGUAGAUAUAAAGUAAAGCAGCGUGUGUCUCUAUUAAACAGCUUCUAUAAUGUUUUAAUGACUAAUGGUUGAUUCAGUUUUGUUGUUGAUCAGCUCUGAAACACGUGCUUUUUGUUUUUGUCUUCAACCUCGUCUAUUUACGCUCGUGUUUAUGACCCCGCCCUCAUUAUAUUAUUAUUUAUUUUCUCCUUCUCCUGGACACAAUCGGAUCAAGCUGCUGAAAACAAACGUGACUGUUACCCACUUGGACAUCUCAGCUUUAUUCGCAAGAUGAAUUUUAAUCCCAUCAUAGUUUAAACUGGGAUAUUUAGCAAACUUUGAAGAGUCGGAUCAG